rnacentral:misc_RNA from 1 species
GAUGAAGAACGUAGCGAAAUGCGAUAAGUAAUGUGAAUUGCAGAAUUCAGUGAAUCAUCGAAUCUUUGAACGCACCUUGCGCCCUUUGGCUAUUCCGAAGGGCAUGCCUGUUUGAGUAUCAUGAACACCUCAACUCUCAUGGUUUGCCAUGAUGAGCUUGGACUCUGGGGGUCUUGCUGGCCUAUGGUCGGCUCCUCUCAAAUAAAUCAGCUUGCCAGUGUUUGGUGGCAUCACAGGUGUGAUAACUAUCUACGCUUGUGGUUUUCCAUCAGGUAACCUUCAGUGAUGGAGGUUCGCUGGAGCUCAUAAAUGUCCCUCCUCAGCGAGGACAGCUUUUUGAACGUUUGAUCUCAAAUCAGGUAGGACUACCCGCUGAACUUAAGCAUAUCAAUAAGCGGAGGA